UCGAUGAAUCUUUUCCGAGAGUCAAUUUCCAUGAUACACUGUCGCAUGUAGCACAAGACCGUCCUAUUUGGCCCACUUAUCAACAGUCCGGUUCUAGUCUUGAUGAACUCUGCAGUAGCCAAGAAUCAUGUUUAACCUCAAUCGUAUCCUAGUCUUCCGGUUAUUCGUCGUGGCAGUGCUGUGUCUGUGUUUUCUUGUUAUGGUGGACGCCAAAUCGUCAAGAGGAGGUGACCCUGGUUGUUCAGGCAUGAUCUGCAGUUUUUUUCACAGCACAGCAAGCUUCUUCGAACGAGUAGGUUUCCGUCUCACAAUCGACUCCAUCCCGAAGCCUUUAUUGCAGCUUCUUUUACCGCUACAUGGAAAAAUCAUCUCCACACUGCUAUAUUCUAUCAACAUCGUCAGACUGUCAUUGGGGUCUGUGAAAAACCCUGAUCUUGAUCGACAAGUAAAAAUAGUUGAACUAGACUUGCAAAAACUGAAAGCGGUAGAAUAUAUUCUGGAUGAAGAACUUGAAAAAAGUGUUCUGUCCAUUUAUGAGUCGGCAAAGGACAUUGCAUCCCUGGAGAAGUAUGUUACUGGAUUGAUCUACAUAUCGCGUCAACUGGUUGGUGGCUAUGUUGACCAUGAAGGAAAGGUUAGGAGACUGAUAAAAGACACGCAGGAUGAAUACAGCAAGGACUGGCUUAUUUGGAUCGCAGAGAGUAUCUUCGAUGCCUUUGGAGGCGACAGAGAUGAGUUAGAAAUAUCAAAAAGAGUCAAGCCGUUAAUGGAAACGCUUCGAUGGACGUCAAGGAAGAUUUGUAUCCUGAAGGGAUGGGAAGCUUUUAUGAGACUUGCAUUAGAUCACGCCAAAAUGAACCAGGACUUGCAUAUUAAACUGGACACAAUUCUCUCGAAAUGUGAAGUACAUGUAGACAGUUAGUGGACGAGCAAGUCGUUUUCCGCUAUACAACUACAUGUACUUGCUCGAAACCUGUUCCAGAGGCCUUAUGUACAUUACAUGUAUGCAAUAUACUGUAUUUACUAUUGUAAAGCUGCACGUGGAAUGAAAUUGUUUAAUGUGGUCAACUUUAGCUUACUUCCUACAUAUGCAUUUAUUUGCAGGUCUUAGAUUAAUCGUUCGGAGUUGUGGAUAUGCUGCAAUGACGUUGUAGAUUAUUUUUGAUGAAGGUCAUGCUCGCUACAUGUACAUGUAGUUGCAACAAGGAGUACAUGUUCACCAGUGCAUAUUGCUAAUGUACAAUGCAUGUACUUCACUACAUGUACGGACGGAAACAUAUUCUAUUAUAUCCUUCGAAACGAAAAAACUGCGUGAUUCGUUAAUGUAAAAAAUAAAGCACACUAAAAUGUAA